UAAGGCUUUCAUUUAGUGGUGGGA
rnacentral:piRNA from 1 species